UGGGGAAUUUUGGACAAUGGGCGCAAGCCUGAUCCAGCCAUGCCGCGUGAGUGAAGAAGGCCCUCGGGUUGUAAAGCUCUUUUGUCCGGAAAGAAAAGCAUUCGGUGAAUACCCGGAUGUUCUGACGGUACCGGAAGAAUAAGCACCGGCUAACUCCGUGCCAGCAGCCGCGGUAAUACGGAGGGUGCAAGCGUUAUCCGGAUUCACUGGGUUUAAAGGGUGCGUAGGUGGGCAGAUAAGUCAGUGGUGAAAUCUUCCGGCUUAACCGGGAAACUGCCGUUGAUACUAUUUGUCUUGAAUAUUGCGGAGGUAAGCGGAAUAUGUCAUGUAGCGGUGAAAUGCUUAGAUAUGACAUAGAACACCAAUUGCGAAGGCAGCUUACUACACAAUCAUUGACACUGAGGCACGAAAGCGUGGGUAGCGAACA
rnacentral:rRNA from 1 species